rnacentral:rRNA from 1 species
UCCUACGGGGGGCAGCAGUGAGGAAUAUUGGUCAAUGGUCGGGAGACUGAACCAGCCAAGCCGCGUGAAGGAGGAAGGUACAGAGUAUCGUAAACCUCUUUUGUCAGGGAACAAAGGCGGGGACGUGUCCCCGGAUGAGUGUACCUGAAGAAAAAGCAUCGGCUAACUCCGUGCCAGCAGCCGCGGUAAUACGGAGGAUGCGAGCGUUAUCCGGAUUUAUUGGGUUUAAAGGGUGCGCAGGCGGUCUGUUAAGUCAGCGGUCAAAUCCCGGGGCUCAACCCCGGCCCGCCGUUGAAACUGGUGUU